GAUGAACGCUGGCGGCGUGCCUAAUACAUGCAAGUCGAGCGAAUGACGAGGAGCUUGCUCCUCUGAUUUAGCGGCGGACGGGUGAGUAACACGUGGGUAACCUGCCUGUAAGACGGGGAUAACUCCGGGAAACCGGAGCUAAUACCGGAUGAUAACGAGAAGCGCCUGCUUCUUUUUUGAAAGUCGGUUUCGGCUGACGCUUACAGAUGGGCCCGCGGCGCAUUAGCUAGUUGGUGAGGUAACGGCUCACCAAGGCGACGAUGCGUAGCCGACCUGAGAGGGUGAUCGGCCACACUGGGACUGAGACACGGCCCAGACUCCUACGGGAGGCAGCAGUAGGGAAUCUUCGGCAAUGGACGAAAGUCUGACCGAGCAACGCCGCGUGAGCGAUGAAGGCCUUCGGGUCGUAAAGCUCUGUUGUCAGAGAAGAACAAGUACCGGAGUAACUGCCGGUACCUUGACGGUACCUGACCAGAAAGCCACAGCUAACUACGUGCCAGCAGCCGCAGUAAGAC
rnacentral:rRNA from 1 species